UGGCGGACGGGUGAGUAAUGUCUGGGAAACUGCCUGAUGGAGGGGGAUAACUACUGGAAACGGUAGCUAAUACCGCAUAACGUCGCAAGACCAAAGAGGGGGACCUUCGGGCCUCUUGCCAUCGGAUGUGCCCAGAUGGGAUUAGCUAGUAGGUGGGGUAACGGCUCACCUAGGCGACGAUCCCUAGCUGGUCUGAGAGAAUGACCAGCCACACUGGAACUGAGACACGGUCCAG
rnacentral:rRNA from 1 species